CGACGGCUCGAUGCGGCGGGACCCGGCGAGCGGCGGCUUCCUGGGCCGCAACGGAGUGGAGUUCACCGGCUUCGGCCGGAUCCAGACCGACGCCGACGGCCA
rnacentral:tRNA from 1 species